GAUUGAACGCUGGCGGCAGGCCUAACACAUGCAAGUCGAGCGGAUGAAGGGAGCUUGCUCCUGGAUUCAGCGGCGGACGGGUGAGUAAUGCCUAGGAAUCUGCCUGGUAGUGGGGGAUAACGUCCGGAAACGGGCGCUAAUACCGCAUACGUCCUGAGGGAGAAAGUGGGGGAUCUUCGGACCUCACGCUAUCAGAUGAGCCUAGGUCGGAUUAGCUAGUUGGUGGGGUAAAGGCCUACCAAGGCGACGAUCCGUAACUGGUCUGAGAGGAUGAUCAGUCACACUGGAACUGAGACACGGUCCAGACUCCUACGGGAGGCAGCAGUGGGGAAUAUUGGACAAAGGGCGAAAGCCUGAUCCAGCCAUGCCGCGUGUGUGAAGAAGGUCUUCGGAUUGUAAAGCACUUUAAGUUGGGAGGAAGGGCAGUAAGUUAAUACCUUGCUGUUUUGACGUUACCAACAGAAUAAGCACCGGCUAACCUCGUG
rnacentral:rRNA from 1 species